GUCCACGUUACCAUGGGAACUGUGUCCCUGAAUGACAGCCUCCCUUCCUAGGCGUGGUAGAGAAACUUCUUGUUUUAUUCUGAAAGUCUCUUGUGGUGUUGUCACAAGAGGCAGGAAUAGAAGAAGGAACAUUU